rnacentral:rRNA from 1 species
GAUGAACGCUGGCGGCGUGCUUAGCACAUGCAAGUCGAACGAGAAGUGGAGACGGAAACCUUCGGGCGGAAGACUUUAUUUCGAGUGGCGGACGGGUGAGUAACGCGUGGGUAACCUGCCUCAUACAGGGGGAUAACAGUUGGAAACGACUGUUAAUACCGCAUAAGACCACAGCACCGCAUGGUGCGGGGGUAAAAACUCCGGUGGUAUGAGAUGGACCCGCGUUCGAUUAGCCAGUUGGCGGGGUAACGGCCCACCAAAGCGACGAUCGAUAGCCGAUCUGAGAGGAUGACCGGCCACAUUGGGACUGAGACACGGCCCAAACUCCUACGGGAGGCAGCAGUGGGGAAUAUUGCACAAUGGGGGAAACCCUGAUGCAGCGACGCCGCGUGAGUGAAGAAGUAUUUCGGUAUGUAAAGCUCUAUCAGCAGGGAAGAAAAUGACGGUACCUGAGGAAGAAGCCCCGGCUAACUACGUG